UAGUGGUGGGUAUAUUUGGGGUAUUUUAAGUGUGUUUGGCAGUAUUGCAGAGUGUUUUAGGUGUUAUAAGUAUGUUUUCAGUGUGCGUUGGAUGUAUUGAGGCAUAUUUGACGUAUCUUGAGUGUGGUGUGGAAGUGUUUGAGUAUUGGCGUGUGUUUUGAGUGUGUUUGGGGCAUUUUGAGGGGUUAUCAUGUAUUUUGCGACAGUUUUGAGUGUUUGAAGAGCUUUGGGUGUGUGUGGGAGUGAUUUGGGUGUAUAUUGGGUUUUUGUAGUGAGUUGUGUGCGUGUUUGGCAGCCUUUUAAGGUGGUGUAUGGUGUCUCAAGUGUGUUUUAGGACGAUUUGAAGUUGUUUUGGUGUGUGGCGCGUGUGUUGGGUGUGUGUAGAGGCUGUUUUUGUUUGCAUUGGGUGUUUCUAGUGAGUUUUGGCUGUUUAUAGAAAAAAUAAAAGAAACACGUAAAAAUAAAGAAAAUAAGGUAAAAGUAAUAAUGUAAAUGAAUACCCGUUGAAAAGGCGGAAUUGUUCAUGCACCACCACAACAAACCGAGGCGGCCCUCCCACCGGCGCUGCCGCCACAACCACCCGCUCUUGUGGCAGGGGCCGGCAGGGACGCGCUGGGACGCAUCCUCUUCACCGACCCACACAAAUACAAGGACGCCAUAUACAAGAGGUGGACACAGCGGGAAAAGAAGAAAAAAGAACUUCAACAUUAGCGGAACAAAGAACGAGAAGAAGUAAGGAGCUUCCGUUGCAACAUCUACAUCUACAUCUACCACUAAUGGCCACCGGGAUACGUGUCUUAUUUAAUGAUUUCCGAGGCCCCUGGCGGUCAUGGAGGGCGGUGAGCAGUGCCUGGGGUCAUGUUGCUUGUGUGGCCGGUGUGAAUGUGACCGGGGGCUUGGCAGGGGUGAUGGGAGGCUUGGCAAGGGUGGCAGGGGGGCGAGGUACAGCCAAUACCCCCCGGCGUACAUGCCCUCAAAACUGCAGGAGAUGGAGGACAGCGGGGAGAUGAAGGAAUUUGAGUAGCGGGCGGUCCGAGUGGCCCACAGCACCCACACCACCUCCGUACUCCACCACCCGCUUGUCAGGAAAUUCACCAACCACAUCAUGAAAACAGGAAACAAACCUCUGGCCAGGGAACUUGUCGAGAAGGUCAAAGGUCACAACUAGCCAGCCGGGAGUGGGUCAGGAUGGCACGGCUGGCUGUGGUGGUGGUGGUGGUGGUAUUGGUGUUGGCGGCAGCAGCGGCGGGAAGGCCAGACUACACGCUGUCCCAAAAUUUAUUGAAAUGUUGCAGAGUGAACAGUCCGCUUGGAAGAUUGUGUUAAGAUAU